rnacentral:rRNA from 1 species
UACGGAGGGUGCGAGCGUUGUCCGGAAUCACUGGGCGUAAAGGGCGCGUAGGCGGUUCGUUAAGUUGCUGGUGAAAUCCCGGGGCUCAACUCCGGGGCUGCCAGUAAGACUGGCGGGCUAGAGCACGGUAGAGGCAGAUGGAAUUCCCGGUGUAGCGGUGGAAUGCGUAGAUAUCGGGAAGAAUACCGGUGGCGAAGGCGUUCUGCUGGGCCGUUGCUGACGCUCAGGCACGAAAGCGUGGGGAGCAAAAGGG